AUUGAACGCUGGCGGCAGGCCUAACACAUGCAAGUCGAGCGAGCGGCGGACGGGUGAGUAAUGUAUGGGGACUGCCCAACAGAGGGGGAUAACUACUGGAAACGGUGGCUAAUACCGCAUAAUAUCGGAUGACCCAUAUGGGAUUAGCUAGUAGGUGGGGGAACGGCGCACCUAGGCGACGAUCCCUAGCUGGUCUGAGAGGAUGAUCAGCCACACUGGGACGGCGACACGGCCCAGACUCCUACGGAGGCAGCAGUGGGGAAUAUUGCGCAAUGGGCGCAAGCCUGAUGCAGCCAUGCCGCGUGUAUGAAGAAGGUCUUCGGAUUGUAAAGUACUUUCAUCAGGGAAGCGUUACCCACAGAUUAAGCACCGGCUAACUCCGUGCCAGCAGCCGCGGUAAUUC
rnacentral:rRNA from 1 species